rnacentral:rRNA from 1 species
GAACGCUGGCGGCAGGCCUAACACAUGCAAGUCGAACGGUAACAGGAAACAGCUUGCUGUUUCGCUGACGAGUGGCGGACGGGUGAGUAAUGUCUGGGAAACUGCCUGAUGGAGGGGGAUAACUACUGGAAACGGUAGCUAAUACCGCAUAACGUCGCAAGACCAAAGAGGGGGACCUUCGGGCCUCUUGCCAUCGGAUGUGCCCAGAUGGGAUUAGCUAGUAGGUGGGGUAACGGCUCACCUAGGCGACGAUCCCUAGCUGGUCUGAGAGGAUGACCAGCCACACUGGAACUGAGACACGGUCCAGACUCCUACGGGAGGCAGCAGUGGGGAAUAUUGCACAAUGGGCGCAAGCCUGAUGCAGCCAUGCCGCGUGUAUGAAGAAGGCCUUCGGGUUGUAAAGUACUUUCAGCGGGGAUGAAGGGAGUAAAGUUAAUACCUUUGCUCAUUGACGUUACCCGCAGAAGAAGCACCGGCUAACUCCGUG